GGACGUGUCAACACGGUGCAGAAAGCAGACUGUCUCGCGCUGUCAGUCACAGACGUUCUUACAGCUGUAGCAACAUUCCCUCAAGACGCCCCGAAAAACUUGUGUGUGACAGAGAGAGCUGACGUAGACUAAGAGCUUGGGAUUGGGUUGUAUUCGCCAUGUUUCCCUGUGUAAGUAUGGAGCAUUGUGAAAUGCUGUGGUAGUGAAUAAUAUGAAGAUUCAUUUUUAACUAAUGUUAGCAAUAUGUGCUUUUUGUAAGGUUCCAGUUUCUUCACAUUCUGAGGACGCGUCAGUAAAUCGUUUUUUCUGUGUUCAGAAAAUGCGCCAGUAACACAAUUCUGUUGGAAGGCUGAUCUUGUUGAUUGGCUCAGUCUAGUUGGUUUGAGUCCGAUUUCUUAAUGUGACUAAGGUAUGUGUUUAUCCUAUUCUAUGAUGUGUUCAACCCACAAUAUUGUGUUUUGUAAAUCUUUGAUGCCUUGCCAUUUAGCAUGUAUCUGGGGGUGUUCAUAAUGGACCAAAUAAUUUAUGGGUAUAGUUUGUUAAAAUAAUAGUUUUAUUCAGUGGGUAAUUUUGAAUAGCUUCUGUGUAAUUGUAUGUAACAUGACGAUUUGGUAUAUUUGUUUAUUUUAACAGAUCUCUUAUCUGUAUGUGCAUUGAGCCACAUAUGCCUAAGCUCUGCUGUUUUGCCUGCAUGGUUUUGUUUUAAUUUUUUUCUUUCUUUUUGCUUGCUGAUUUUGUUUGCUGGCUGGUGUGUUAAGCCACAGCUUGCUUGCUUGUAAUGCUUUCUACACUUGCUGGAGUCUCCUUCUCUCUCUUUUUUUUUUUUUUUUAGUUCAUUUUG